rnacentral:rRNA from 1 species
GGGGAAUAUUGCACAAUGGGCGCUAAGCCUGAUGCAGCCAUGCCGCGUGUAUGAAGAAGGCCUUCGGGUUGUUAAGUACUUUCAGUUGUGAGGAAGGGGGUGUUGUUAAUAGCAACAUCUCUUGACGUUAGCAACAGAAGAAGCACCGGCUAACUCCGUGCCAGCAGCCGCGGUAAUACGGAGGGUGCGAGCGUUAAUCGGAAUUACUGGGCGUAAAGCGCAUGCAGGUGGUUCAUUAAGUCAGAUGUGAAAGCCCGGGGCUCAACCUCGGAACUGCAUUUGAAACUGGUGAACUAGAGUACUGUAGA